rnacentral:rRNA from 1 species
UACGGAGGGUGCGAGCGUUGUUCGGAAUCACUGGGCGUAAAGCGCGUGUAGGCGGCCCACUAAGUCUGAUGUGAAAGCCCGGGGCUCACCCCCGGAAGUGCAUUGGAAACUGGUGGACUCGAGUCCCAGAGAGGAGAGUGGAAUUCCUGGUGUAGCGGUGAAAUGCGUAGAUAUCAGGAGGAACACCGGUGGCGAAGGCGGCUCUCUGGACGGUGACUGACGCUGAGACGCGAAAGCGUGGGGAGCAAACAGG